UGAAAGGCAUGAAUGCAAUGUUCAAAUCCGCGAAGCGGACUUAAGGUAUAAAAAGGCGAAAACUAGUCUACAUAAGAAGGGUCAAUAGUUUGACCAUGAUUACGUCAAACAAGACAUAUAAGUAAAUGUAAUGCAAAUGAACAAAGGAAUGAUAAGAAGGAAGAUAUUCGAAUGUGAAGUGAUUACAUACCAAAACAAAUAAAUAUUCCUUAAGUGAUAUGAUCCAAAUUAUGUUUAAACUUUUGUAUAUAUAUAUACAUGAUUAUAUUUAUGUAAAUGUGUUGUAAGCAAGAAUGGUAGAAAGGAUAAAUGGGACAUACGGGUCAGAUGGCAACCGCCAUUUGAACUCGGUAGUUAAUGAUAUGAUUUGUCAAGUUUCAUGCUCAUAGGUGAGCUUGAAGAAUGGAGACGCAAUGUCACUAACCGGAAAGGAAUGAUCAUCGUAAGGUAUGGAUAACGAAUCAAUGGAAUUUACUUCCGUCAGAUUGGUAUAGAACAUGAAUGCCUGUAACUGUGGUAAUUCUAAUAGAAUGUAAGUGAUGACAAGUACCGUUAAGAAAUACGAACCUUGAUGCUUGGCUUGUUGGCCAUGUUCAUUUGAACAAGACACUGUAGAAAAGAUACGCAUGGCAUAAAUAACGAUAGUAACCAUGGAAAUAAUGCUUAAUUUUUGUGUUAAGUAUGGAUAAGAGAGUUUAAGAAGGGUGAUUUUGAUUGUAACAAUAAGUCUUUAAAUGAUUGUAAUAUGCGUAUGAUAAUAUAUCGACCCCUCCUAUGAGCUUAAGGAUAAUCGGAAGUAACGAUAGUAAGGGAAUGUUUAGGAUGGCUCAUAGUGAACAAAAUGAAAGAUAUCAUAUGAUGUAUGAGUAGAAUGAAAUAAACCGACUUAUUUCAAUUAGUAAAUAUACAAAUGUAAUAUGCUUAAAUAGGAUGUUAGAAACAAGCCAUAGACUUAGUAUGUAUGGUUAAUAACUGCAUACAAUUGGAAUAAAUUCGAUGAAUAAAAUGCUAGGGAUAAUAUGUGCUAGAAACUAGCAAUAUGAAGUGAAAGACACUAAUAAGAGCUCUGGAGCAGAAUCUAACAUAAGUAUUGUGAAUGAACAACUUGAAAGGGGUAAGAGUAGAAUUGGUUUAAUUUUAAAUGAAAAAGGUUUCGGGGACGAAACCUUAUUUAAGAGGGGUAGACUUGUAACACCCCAAAACCCGAAUGUUUAUAUUUGUCGUAUGUCCAUAUAAGACACAUCAUGAAAUAAAUAACUAGGCUAAUUAACCUACUUAAGUAUAUGGCAAAACUAUUAAAUGGAGAGAGUUAUGCCAAAUGUGUUCUAAGUGCCAACAUGAGGGACUAAUUGGAGUAAAAUGGAAGUUGAGUUAUUAAAAUAAAAAAAAUAAACACACACAACACACAAUUCGUGUGUGUUCUCGAACGUACAGGGGCUUCAAGAAGCCAAGCCCUAGUUCUUCAAAAAAAGCUUCAAAUUAAGGGAUGAUUCAAGGCUCAAAUUCAUGAAUUCUCAUGGAUUAAUGAUCACCAUCACAAGGGGAUCAUAAGGUAUGUCUCGAUUCUCAGUUUUGGAGAACAACCGUGAAGUGGGUUUUGAUGAAUGUAUGAAUUCGAUCAAAAAUUGGCAUGAAUACUUGCUAAUGUUAUCAUGUUUAAAUCGAAUCAUGGCUGAAUUUUAGUAAUCUUAGGGAUUUAGAAGGAAACCAUGUUUAUGAGUAUGAGAAAGACUAUGAUGAACAUGUGUUUAGUGAUGAUUUUGAUUAUGUUGAUGCAUGUGUUAUGAAUUAGGUUUUGAUAGUAAUAUGAUGUAGGUGACAAUAUGAUUUUGUUUGAAUGUAAUGGUUCAUGAGAUGAAUUUGGGAAGAACAUGCUUAAACCACUUGUACACUAUGCUUGGAAAGUAGAUUGCACACCAAGUGUUUGAUAAAAUGCCUAGUAUAGGUUAGUGUGUGUUAUCACUUGUAUGGAAUGUUAAUUAAAUAGUAAUGAAGGCGAUUAUGUAUUACAAGUAUGAAAAGUGCUUAGUGAUGAUGUUGUGUACAAAAUAACAUGCUAUGUGUAUCGAGUAACAAAGCUGAUUAGGAUUAAAAUUUGUUGCGCAACAAUUUUGCAAAAAUCAUAUAAAAUCAUAGGAAGGACCUGUGAGGUCGAGCCUUAUAUGCUCAAAAAGCUAUUUAAACAUAUUACGUUUUGUGUUUGAACAUGUUUGUUGAAUUCGGAUGUUAAACAGGCCAAAACAGUGCCCAAAGUCGGCAAUACUGUUUUGACAGCAAGCUGUUUGGAAGCAUUUCAGCUUCUGUGCUGAUUUUGUAAAAUUCAUAUAAAAUCAUAGGAACGUCCGAUUGUUACGAUCUUUAUAUGCUUAGAAAGGUCUCUGAGUGUAGAUCAUUUCAUAUUUGAACAUGAAGAACUGAAUCAGAAGAUAAAUGGGUUAAAAUGUGUCGUGAACAGCUGCUGCGCAGAAAGUUGUUGCACAUUUUUAGUAUAAAUAUUAAGUAAAAAUAGUUGUAUUUUUAUGCACACUUGUAUGAAUCAUGAACUACUGAUUUUAAUAAAUUAUUAGUAAGUUAUUUGAUUCUUUUAAGUGUCUAAAACACUUACCAACUAGUCUAUGCAUAUGAUUGCACCAACGGGUUGAAACGGGUUGUUGAUAGAAAAUAGUAGAAUGGAUGUGUAAAAACCAAGGUGUUAAGAAAUGGUAUGAAAUGUUUAAUGUAUGAAACAAGUUGCCUAACUUAGAAAAUGUUAUCAUUCUAAGUAUGGAAUUUUGAAACAAUAAUGAACAUGAUGUAAAUACAUAAUUAUGCAUGCUAGAAGCUCAUGUAUGACUUUUGUGAUGAUGGAAUGAUAAAUUGUUAGAUUGAUUAGCAUUGUAGUAUUGUGAUACAUGUUGAACUCGUUAAGCGAUUGAGACGUGAAUAGAAGUGUGAUUAGUGGUGCGUAUGAUUACGUAUACUAACUAUUGAAUGGAUGUAAUGGAAUGAGAUAAUAGGAACGUGUCAAGGAGAGCUCAAGCAUAGGAGGAUAACGGGUCAAGAUAAGGCAAGGUGACAAAUACACUUAUUGGAGUACUCAAGGUAAGUGAUUUCUAUAAUCACUUCUUUAGUUGUUUAAGUAAUAUAAUGUUUUAAUUAUUAAGUUCAUAUGAAGUUGAGGUCAAAUCAAUAGAUUAUUUCGAUAAAUGCACGAAUGGGUCGAAUAAUUCAUAGAUGAAUAACAAGCCGAAUAUGUAUAAGUUAAGAAAUUCCUUAACUCGGAUGUUGGACUUCAAGAUCACAUGAUAGAAUAUUAAAUUACAAUCAUGUAGGAAGAAACGUGACGCAAAACGGAUGAAAAAUGAGAGAGUUAUGUCCGUUUCGGUAAGGAUUAAUGGCUAGGAACAGUGCAGAGUUGACACGGCCGGGUGGUGAACUGACACGGCCGGGUGAAGGUUCUGUCAAAAAUAUUAUUUAUGUGAUUUAUGCGCCGUAGGCUUCGGUAUAUUAUCCGUGAACUACGACGGGCCUCCCAAACAUGAUUUCGAGUGUUUCCUUGACGAUUAUAAGUUGUAAACCCAAGUCUAAGCCUCAUGUAAUUUAUAUAAGAGUGUGAUAGAUGUAUGUAAUGAAGUUGGACAUGUAUUACAUGUAAAUGUAUACAAAAAUACGUACGGAACACGUAGAUAUGAAUACAUGAUUGUAGGUAUGAUUAAAUGUAUAUUAGGUAUGUAGAUGUGUAUGAUUGUAAGUUUGUAUGUGUGCAAGUAUGUGCGAAUGCAUGAUUUGGAUGCAUUUGAGAAAUAGCGUUACUAAUAAUGCCCUUGGGUUUGGAAUAUAAGUUAAUUGGAUGCAUUUAAAUGGUUGACGUCCUUUUUAUGAAGAUGUAGUAAAUGAAUAUGUUGAGAUUACGGGUUUGGCUAACCAAGUUAUUAUUGAGUAUGUUUGAAAGUGCAGGUUAUGAAUGUCGGACUUUCGAAGUGUUGAUAUAAUAAUGAAACGGUUGAAUGUUGAAAGGAUAAUCGGAUUGAAGUAACUUAUGCGGUUAGAAUAUGCUAUGGACGUUUUAGUUUAUACAACAUUUUAUGUUUGGUCGUCAUCAUCUACCAACGGGUUAGUUGUUUGAAAAUAUAUGUCAUACCCAUUUAAUUGGGUAAUCGAAUGCAUGAGAGAAAUGAAAGCACAUACACGAAUGGAACUAAAGUGACGAUUUUAUAAGUAAAUAAGUAAAUGACUAACUUUUUAAAGCUUUGUUGAUUGAAUGUAGGUAAAUCCUCAAUUCAGGCGACUUGGAGAAUCGGAGCGAGCGCGUGUUCAUGUUAUGUCAUACCAAACGCUUCCGCUAGCUUGUUCAAAUGUUUUUGAACCAAAAUUUGUUGUAUUGGUUUUUAGUAGUAUCUUGUUGAAUGAAUUGUAGAAUUGUAUCUAGUUUGUUUAUGUUUAAAACAGGGGUAUGCUCGUUUUAUGGACGGGUCAUGCCCGAUUUUUGUUAAAUUAUAGUAUGAUAAUAUCACAUUUAGGA
rnacentral:lncRNA from 1 species